rnacentral:rRNA from 1 species
AUACGGAGGGUGCGAGCGUUAAUCGGAAUUACUGGGCGUAAAGCGCGCGUAGGCGGUUGGGUAAGUCGGAUGUGAAAGCCCCGGGCUUAACCUGGGAAUUGCAUUCGAUACUGCCCGGCUAGAGUAUGGUAGAGGGAAGCGGAAUUCCGGGUGUAGCGGUGAAAUGCGUAAAUAUCCGGAGGAACACCAGUGGCGAAGGCGGCUUCCUGGACCAAUACUGACGCUGAGGUGCGAAAGCGUGGGGAGCAAACAGAAUUAGAAACCCUAGUAGUCC